GACGAACGCUGGCGGCGUGCUUAACACAUGCAAGUCGAACGGAAAGGCCCUGCUUUUGUGGGGUGCUCGAGUGGCGAACGGGUGAGUAACACGUGAGUAACCUGCCCUUGACUUUGGGAUAACUUCAGGAAACUGGGGCUAAUACCGGAUAGGAGCUCCUGCUGCAUGGUGGGGGUUGGAAAGUUUCGGCGGUUGGGGAUGGACUCGCGGCUUAUCAGCUUGUUGGUGGGGUAGUGGCUUAUCAAGGCUUUGACGGGUAGCCGGCCUGAGGGGGUGACCGGCCACAUUGGGACUGAGAUACGGCCCAGACUCCUACGGGAGGCAGCAGUGGGGAAUAUUGCACAAUGGGCGGAAGCCUGAUGCAGCAACGCCGCGUGCGGGAUGACGGCCUUCGGGUUGUAAACCGCUUUCGCCUGUGACGAAGCGUGAGUGACGGUAAUGGGUAAAGAAGCACCGGCUAACUACGUG
rnacentral:rRNA from 1 species